AAUUAUACACUGAGGCAAUUGAUGGCUCCUACAUAGAGACUAAGGAGAAUGCCUUAAUAUGGCACUAUCAAGAUGCUGACAUUGAUUUUAGAUCCCGCCAGGUAACGAAGUUGCUGAAUCUCGUUGAUUGAGGGUAAAUUUCUGAUUCUGAGCAAUUCGAUACGCCUAGAGAAUGAGAAGUUAUUUCAGUAAAUUGAAUGUUGGAGAAUCAAUUAAAAACACGAGUACUCAGUUGAGGAAAAUGUCUGUGCAAGUUGACAACAGAAAACAGAACUCAAAUGUUAAUGUAAGAGAAAUUGUUCAUACACAUUUCCAGAUCAGAAGCUGAAAUUGCCUUUCUGCCCGCAUUCCCUCUCUUCCGCCAUGGUGAAGUACCCUUAGAAUGAUAACGGUGGUCCUGCUUUCUCCAAUGUAAUAAAUCAAAAUGACUUCUCAUCACUCUCUGAAUCUGAAUUAGAAGAAAUAUUGGAAGACAUCAGUUGGAGUGUACCAAUAUGGUUUGGGUUGUGAUGGCAGUAAUAUGAGAAUAGAAACUUUCGGAAGAGAUGGCAAUGAAAUUCGCUUCUCCACAUUUGUUUUGAGUGAAAUGAGUUUGCUGACAGUGACACCUAAUGCCAGUAUGCAGAAUUCUAUUUCAGCAACCUAUAAAAUCAUCCUCAGGCAACCCUAGCAAUCCAGUAAAAAACAGUCCCAAACUCCACUCCAUCAUGGUUACCUUGCUACAUACACCUUCUCCCUUACUUACCUCUUUGAUUGAGAAUUUACUGUUUUAAAUUGAAUUUCAAAACCAUUGUUCAACUAAACAUUCCCAACUUUGAAAAAUCCAUCUUAGAAGCAUCUAGGUAUGAAAUCCCA
rnacentral:lncRNA from 1 species